rnacentral:lncRNA from 1 species
AUGCAUGAUAUGGAUAUUAUUGUUUUCUUUUGUUUUUAGUGAGUCGAGGGAUUAGCACCGCACAAUCUGGUUGCUCUCUCUUGUACAUAAAGGCUUCUACAGCUAGAGACAGAAGGCGGGUUUUGUUUUGUUGUAAGUUUAGCCAUUGCUACUUCCUUGUAGACACAUGUGUCGACUAGACCAUCCGUUCUACUUGAUUCAAAACCCCAUAUUGUUAUCGUGAUUCAUAUCAGAUCCUUCUUGUAUUAUUUGGCAAUUGAGUGCCUGUUCUAUCUGUUCUUGCAUGUUCUUCGAUUGCGUGCAGGAAUUACCCUAGUGGUUUGGUUGGUCGUGAUCAACAAGAUCGUGAUCAACCGCUAGAAUUGGUGUAUCGAUCGCUAAGGCGCAGUAUCCUUGGACGGUUGUAGUCAGAUCGUGAACGUCGCUCCAGAGAGAUCGAAGUUAUCCAUCUCCACCAAAAGAUCGGGACACCCUCGUCCUUAUUAUGUGGUAUCAGAGCAAGGUUUGAUUGGUGAGUGACUUUAGUUUGCAAUUUUUUUCCUAUAGUCCAGAAAAGCCAUUGCCCAACGUAUAAUCUCCGCUGCGAUCACUAUUACCAUAUACAUUUGGACUACACUAUAUAUCUAAACUACCAUCACCACCCUACUUGGGCACCGUGUAAACUCCAUCCACCACUCUCUUUUCACUCAUGCGCACCCUAUAUUUAUAGGUCAUUGCAUGCAUGUUUUCACUUCCAUCCAUGAGCAACCUAUUCUUACUCACUGCCACCUGCAUGUUCCUUUCUUCCAUUCAUACAUCCUAUUGUAAGCGCUCUUGCACAUUCUAUAAUCAGCAUCCUAUUUUUAAUCAGCAUCCUAUUGCAACCACUAGAUUCAUUCCACUCUUGGGCAUCUAAUUUUAGAACAUUGCAUCCUUGUCCACUUCAUGCGCAUCCUUUUGCCUCUCCUCCACUCUUCUUUCACAUUCUAUUUUUCUCAUCCCCGUUGCAAUCAGUGUUACUGCAGCAUCAUAUCACCAUCAUAAUCUGCUAGUUGUAUUUUUGUUACACUAAAGACAUUGUGUGUUUUCUGAAAUCUAAUCCAUCAAGAUUCAGAUUUAUUUUAGUUGAGCAAAGUAGGAAAAAAAGAAAGAAACAAAAAAAUAUCAGAAAAAAAGAAAAGAAAAAGGAAAGGAAAGAAAAAAAGAAAGAAAAGAAAGGAAGAGGAAAAGAAGGGAAGUUAUCUCUUGUUGUUCUUAUUAUUCUUGCGAUAUUGUGACUUCAUCUGUGCCCAGGCUCGCGUCUCUAGCACGGUCUAGCCUAGGACCAGCACAGUGCCACCGUUGAAUGAUUUCUCAACAUGCUUUUGUGACUAAUGUAGUGCUAGUACUUCCUUGUGCAAUAUAUAGAGCCAUCCUAUAACUCCACAUAUCAGACUCCAACUUGACAAGUGUUGUUGCUGCAGCGUUGAUACACCAUUUUCUAGGUUUUCUGACUUGUUGGUUCCUGCCACCUCUUGUUUCGCUUGGUAAGAACUUGUGAGAACUUGUUUGCAUAGGGUGAGAGUGAAAUAAUUACAACAACCACAUCCUUGUAGUUGAUAGGAGCAUAAAGAUUAUUGCGUAUGUCUCUUGUUUUGUUCUAAUCAUGGCAGGAAUCCACGUAGAAACAAGCGAUAAUCAGAUUGCAUGUUCACGUCACUUUGCUAAAGGUGUGGCAAGUGAUAAGUAUGGCACUCAUGAGGUAUGUGAUGUUUUGCUAGAUGAAAUAAAAUCUGCAUUACCUUAUUUUGAAGGAAAUUGUGAUCCACAUGCAUAUAUUAAAUGGGAGCUAAAUGUAGACAAUGAAUUUAAAAAGCAUAAUCUAUCUGAAAGCCAAAAGAUUAGAGUUGCUUCCAGUGUUCUUACUGAGUAUGCUUUAAGUUCAUGGAAAUACCUUUGUAGAUUUCAUAAAGCUCCUCAAAUAUGGAAAGAUGUGAAAAGACAUUUUAGAGAUGUUUUUGUCCCUGAGUACUAUUCUGAAAUUUUGUUUGAAAAACUACAAUCUAUAAAGCAAGAAAACAAAACCAUAGCGGAAUAUUUGGAUAAACUAAAAUUGUGUGUGCUGCGAUGUGGAUUAGAAGAAACUGAUGAACUUUUGGAACAUAGAUUUCUGCAAGGUCUUAAUGUAGAAAUUCAGAACAUUCUUGUUGAUAAGUAUUAUAACACCUUUGAUGAAUUGUUUGAUCUUGCCUGUGAGUUAGAAAGGGAUCUCGCAAGUAUUAUAGAAGUACGUGUCUCUCCUAUUACUAACAAUUUGCAGCAACAAGAAGACAACAUACACAUGGAAAGCGUGCAACUUCAGAUACUAGAUGUGUCAUUUAAAGAGAGCGUAAAUCUAGCUGCACCCACAUCAUUUCAACACAGCAUCAAAGGUAAAUUAGAUGGUGGUAACAUAAAUCAAGGUGACCUUGCAUUAGAUGAGCUGCAUUUGUCCACUAAUGCUGCUAACUUAGAGAAAACAAUUAUGGAACCAAUUACUAAUUUUCCUUUGUCAAACUUCGAUAUUCCUGAUGUUCCUAGCUAGUGACAAAGAAGAGUUGUGCAAUAGUGCAUCACCUAUAUCCAUGCCACAACUAGUAUACAAAGAAAAGAAUUCUGAAUCAAUGAGUGUCGAAUUCAAGCAUGUUAUUAAUAUUGUAAAUGAAAAUGAAGAAGCUCAAUUGUUGUCAUCUUUACAUAUAAUGGGGUACAUUGAAUUCGAUGAUCUUUGUGAGCUUAGCUAUUUAGAGAAUAAUCAGUUUUCUAGAUUUGAAUUGUCAUGCUCUUCCAGUGUUAGUUUUCAUGCAAUUGGCAAAUAUAAUUAUGCAAAGGAGUAUAUGGUACACCGAAUAUACAUUUAUUCAAACAUAAAAUCUCCUUUUAUUGUGAAACAAUAUGACCAACUAGAAGUGUGCAAUAACCAUAACCAUGUCAUGGCGGCUUUGCCUAGUUUUCUUAUGAUGGAACAGGGCAAGUAUCAAGCAGGAGAGCAAGGUUCAUCAAUUCUGACAACACAUGCUCCACCAAUGAUUAAACUGAGGACGGUUUGCUGUCAAGAAGGGGAGAAUGAUGAGGACAUCACCUUCUCCGUAAUACUUACAUGGAUCAGGAGAAUAUUUGAUUGCAUAUUGAAAGUAUGGAUGGUGAAUGAAGUUGAUUGGGGACCAUUAUGCCCUACUUGGGAGAAGAGGACAAGCUUGAGUCGAGGACGACUCAAAUGCAAGAAGGGGAGGAUGAUGAGGACAUGAGUACCAUCAAUAGAAGAGGACAAGCUUGAGUUGAGGACGACUCAAAUGCAAGAAGGGGAGGAUGAUGAGGACAUGAGCACCAUCAAUACAUCCACGCCUCAGAUUCAUAUGCAUGAUAACUCAACUAUCUAGAAUAAUGAGGAGGAACCGCAAGAAAGCAUAUUCCCGAUGGGCUAAAUUUGGACUGCAGAAGGGUCUCAACUUGUGGUGGCCACCAAGACUACAUACGGUGACUGAUUUUGAUGUUCAAAUACACGGUGGAAAGCUUAUGAAGUCUAUUUUCACAUGGAUCCAGUCCCAUGUCCAUAUCUAUAAUGAGGCGGCCGCAAUCGUCGAGUUACUCCAGAGACCUUUCUGUGGACAGCUUCAUUCAAUAAGAAACUCCAUGCAUGCAUGAUAUGGUUUUCUUUUGUUUUUAGUGAGUCGAGGGAUUAGUACCGCACACUCUGGUUGCUCUCACUUGUACAUAAAGGCUUCUACAGCCAGAGACAGAAGGCGGGUUUUGUUUUCUUGUAAGUUUAGCCAUUGCUACUUCCUUGUAGACGCAUGUGUCGACUAGACCAUCCGUUCUACUUGAUUCAAAACCCCAUAUUGUUAUCGUGAUUCAUAUCAGAUCCUUCUUGUAUUACUUGGCAAUUGAGUGCCUGUUCUAUCUGUUCUUGCAUGUUCUUCGAUUGCGUGCAGGAAUUACCCUAGUGGUUUGGUUGGUCAUGAUCAACAAGAUCGUGAUCAACCGCUGGAAUUUGUGUAUCGAUCGCUAAGGCGCAGCGUCCUUGGACGUUUGUAGUCGGAUCGUGAACGUCGCUCCAGAGAGAUCGAAGUUAUCCAUCUCCACCGAAAGAUCGGGACACCCUCGUCCUUAUUAUCUGGUAUCAAAGCAAGGUUUGAUUGGUGAGUGAUUUUAGUUUGCAAUUUUUUUCCUAUAGUCCAGAAAAGCCAUUGCCCAUCGUAUAAUCUCCGCUGCGAUCACUAUUACCAUAUACAUUUGGACUACACUAUAUAUCUAAACUACCAUCACCACCCUACUUGGGCACCGUGUAAACUCCAUCCACCACUCUCUUUUCACUCAUGCGCACCCUAUAUUUUUAGGUCAUUGCAUGCAUGUUUUCACUUCCAUCCAUGAGCAACCUAUUCUUACUCACUGCCACCUGCAUGUUCCUUUCUUCCAUUCAUACAUCCUAUUGUAAGCGCUCUUGCACAUUCUAUAAUCAGCAUCCUAUUUUUAAUCAGCAUCCUAUUGCAACCACUAGAUUCAUUCCACUCUUGGGCAUCUAAUUUUAGAACAUUGCAUCCUUGUCCACUUCAUGCGCAUCCUUUUGCCUCUCCUCCACUCUUCUUUCACAUUCUAUUUUUCUCAUCCCCGUUGCAAUCAGUGUUACUGCAACAUCAUAUCACCAUCAUAAUCUGCUAGUUGUAUUUUUGUUACACUAAAGACAUUGUGUGUUUUCUGAAAUCUAAUCCAUCAAGAUUCAAAUUUAUUUUAGUUGAGCAAAGUAGGAAAAAAACAGAAAGAAACAAAAAAAUAUCAGAAAAAAAGAAAAGAAAAAGGAAAGGAAAGAAAAAAAAGAAAGAAAAGAAAGGAAGAGGAAAAGAAGGGAAGUUAUCUCUUGUUGUUCUUAUUAUUCUUGCGAUAUUGUGACUUCAUCUGUGCCCAGGCUCGCGUCUCUAGCACGGUCUAGCCUAGGACCAGCACAGUGCCACCGUUGAAUGAUUUCUCAACAUGCUUUUGUGACUAAUGUAGUGCUAGUACUUCCUUGUGCAAUAUAUAGAGCCAUCCUAUAACUCCACAUAUCAGACUCCAACUUGACAAGUGUUGUUGCUGCAGCGUUGAUACACCAUUUUCUAGGUUUUCUGACUUGUUGGUUCCUGCCACCUCUUGUUUCGCUUGGUAAGAACUUGUGAGAACUU